CGGCGGCCACCGCUAUAGGAAUUCGAUUAAGACAUGCGAGUCGAGAGUCGUAAUGGACUCGGCGGACUGCUCAGUAACACGUGGAUAACGUGCCCUUAAGUGGAGGAUAAUCUCGGGAAACUGAGAAUAAUACUCCAUAGAUUAUGGAAUCUGGAAUGAUCCAUAGUCGAAAGUUCCGGCGCUUAAGGAUCGGUCUGCGGCCUAUCAGGUAGUAGUGGGUGUAACGUACCUAAUAGCCUAUGACGGGUAUGGGCCUUGAGAGAGGGAGCCCAGAGUUGGAUUCUGAGACACGAAUCCAGGCCCUACGGGGCGCAGCAGUCGCGAAAACUUCACAAUGGGGGCAACCCCGAUGAGGGAAUUCCUAGUGCUAUCACAAUUGUGUUAGCUUUUCUCUAGCGUAGAUAACU
rnacentral:rRNA from 1 species